rnacentral:rRNA from 1 species
UACGGAGGGUGCGAGCGUUGUCCGGAAUCACUGGGCGUAAAGGGCGCGUAGGCGGCGCGGGUAGUCAACGGUGAAAGCUUGGGGCUCAACCCCGAGUCGGCCGUCGAUACUCCCGUGCUUGAGCACUGUAGAGGCAGGUGGAAUUCCGGGUGUAGCGGUGGAAUGCGUAGAGAUCCGGAAGAACACCGGUGGCGAAGGCGGUUGGCUGGGCCACAACUGACACUGAUGCGCGACAGCGUGGGGAGCAAACAGG